UACAGAGGUCCCGAGCGUUGUUCGGAUUUAUUGGGCGUAAAGGGUGCGUAGGCGGCGGAGUAAGUUGGGUGUGAAAUCCCGGGGCUCAACCUCGGAAUGGCAUUCAAUACUGCUUCGCUAGAGUACUGGAGAGGAGGCUGGAAUUUACGGUGUAGCAGUGAAAUGCGUAGAUAUCGUAAGGAAGGCCGGUGGCGAAAGCGAGCCUCUGGACAGUUACUGACGCUGAGGCGCGAAAAGCGUGGGGAGCAAACAGG
rnacentral:rRNA from 1 species